GCCUGGGUGGCUCAGUAGGUUGAGUGCCCGACUUCGGCUCAGGUCAUGAGCUCAUGGUUUGUGGGUUCGAGCCCCACAUCAGGCU
rfam:Felis catus isolate Cinnamon breed Abyssinian chromosome X, whole genome shotgun sequence.